rnacentral:rRNA from 1 species
UGAGUAACGCGUAUCCAACCUUCCCAUUACUGUGGGAUAACCUGCCGAAAGGCAGACUAAUACCGCAUAGUCUUCGAUGACGGCAUCAGAUUUGAAGUAAAGAUUUAUCGGUAAUGGAUGGGGAUGCGUCUGAUUAGCUUGUUGGCGGGGUAACGGCCCACCAAGGCGACGAUCAGUAGGGGUUCUGAGAGGAAGGUCCCCCACAUUGGAACUGAGACACGGUCCAAACUCCUACGGGAGGCAGCAGAG